AGUAGGUGAAAUUAGUUCCUCUGCUAUGUACUUUGCUUGCAUAUUACAGUGAAGUUCUUUGAACACAAAGCCCUCAAAGAAAGUUGGGGUUAUCCUCUGCUAAACCUGUGCCAUUGUUUUGGUGCUUUAGGUCUGUUCUGUGCAGUGCCAGUGAGCUGAGAUUGUGUCAGGGCCCUGUGGACAACAAUCUGCAACAGCCAUAGCGUCAGUACUUUUCAGAAGAGGGGAUGUUCCUAAGAAAGGGUUUAAGAUGAUACCAGGACUGUGUUUAUAUCUGUUCUAUUUGCUAAGUGGAAAGUUGCAAGAAAAGAUGUAAGUUUAUGGAGUUAAAAAUUAGGAAAUGGCUGUUAUUUUUAAAACCUUGUCUCUAUUUGCUGUUCCUACUUUGAUCUGGGUUGAGUUUUUUGUUGGCUUUUUUUGCAGAGCUGUGCAUAUCUUAGUUACCCAAC
rnacentral:lncRNA from 1 species